UCCCAGGUGGCUCAAUGGUAAAGAAUCUGCCUGCCAAUGCAGGAGACACAGGUUCAAUCCCUGGAUUGGGAA
rnacentral:tRNA from 1 species